GAUGAACGCUGGCGGCGUGCCUAAUACAUGCAAGUCGAGCGAACAGAUAAGUAGCUUGCUCCUUUGACGUUAGCGGCGGACGGGUGAGUAACACGUGGGUAACCUACCUAUAAGACUGGAAUAACUCCGGGAAACCGGAGCUAAUGCCGGAUAACAUUUAGAACCGCAUGGUUCUAAAGUAAAAGAUGGUUUUGCUAUCACUUAUAGAUGGACCCGCGCCGUAUUAGCUAGUUGGUAAGGUAAUGGCUUACCAAGGCAACGAUACGUAGCCGACCUGAGAGGGUGAUCGGCCACACUGGAACUGAGACACGGUCCAGACUCCUACGGGAGGCAGCAGUAGGGAAUCUUCCGCAAUGGGCGAAAGCCUGACGGAGCAACGCCGCGUGAGUGAUGAAGGGUUUCGGCUCGUAAAACUCUGUUAUUAGGGAAGAACAAACGUGUAAGUAACUGUGCACGUCUUGACGGUACCUAAUCAGAAGGCCACGGCUAAAUACGCGCCAGCCGCCGCGGUAA
rnacentral:rRNA from 1 species